CCUACGGGUGGCUGCAGUAGGGAAUCUUCCGCAAUGGACGAAAGUCUGACGGAGCAACGCCGCGUGAGCGAAGAAGGUCUUCGGAUCGUAAAGCUCUGUUGUUAGGGAAGAACAAGUACGGGAGGAAAUGACCGUACCUUGACGGUACCUGACGAGGAAGCCACGGCUAACUACGUGCCAGCAGCCGCGGUAAUACGUAGGUGGCAAGCGGUGUCCGGAAUUAUUGGGCGUAAGGCGCGCGCAGGCGGUCUUUUAAGUCUGUUGUGAAAUCUUGCGGCUCAACCGCAAGCGGUCAUUCGAAACUGGUAGACAUGUGAGCAGAAGCGGAGAGCGGAAUUCCAGGUGUGGCGAUGAAAUGCGUAGAGAUGUGGAGGAACACCAGUGGCGAAGGCGGAUUUCUGGGCUGUAACAGACGCUGAGGCGCGAAAGCGGGGGGAGCAAACAGGAUGAGAUACCCGAGGAGAC
rnacentral:rRNA from 1 species